CAGCCAGACUCCUACGGGAGGCAGCAGUAGGGAAUCUUUCACAAUGGGCGAAAGCCUGAUGGAGCAACGCCGCGUGCAGGAUGAAGGCCUUCGGGUUGUAAACUGCUUUUAUAAGCGAGAAAUAUGAUGGUAACUUAUGAAUAAGGAUCGGCUAACUACGUGCCAGCAGCCGCGGUAAUACGUAGGGAGCAAGCGUUGUCCGGAAUUACUGGGUGUAAAGGGAGCGUAGGCGGGAAUGCAAGUUGGAAGUGAAAGGUAUGGGCUCAACCCAUGAACUGCUUUCAAAACUGUAUUUCUUGAGUGAAGUAGAGGCAGGCGGAAUUCCUAGUGUAGCGGUGAAAUGCGUAGAUAUUAGGAGGAACACCAGUGGCGAAGGCGGCCUGCUGGGCUUUAACUGACGCUGAGGCUCGAAAGCGUGGGUAGCAAACAGGAUUAGAUACCCGAGUA
rnacentral:rRNA from 1 species